UACGGAGGGUGCAAGCGUUGCUCGGAAUUAUUGGGCGUAAAGGGCAGGUAGGUGGUCUCGUUUGUCUAGGGUGAAAGCCUUGAGCUUAACUCAAGAAGUGCCCUAGAAACGGCGAGACUAGAGUUCUGGAGAGGGUCGUGGAAUUCCCGGUGUAGCAGUGAAAUGCGUAGAGAUCGGGAGGAACACCAGAGGCGAAGGCGGCGACCUGGACAGAUACUGACACUCAACUGCGAAAGCGUGGGGAGCAAACAGG
rnacentral:rRNA from 1 species